rfam:Myotis brandtii contig169785, whole genome shotgun sequence.
GGUUGUUCUCGAAUGACACACCUCGGAAUCGGGCUCCCUCCUUUCUGGUUCCAGGGUGCAUCACCCGAGAACCACA